rnacentral:rRNA from 1 species
AGUGAACGCUGGCGGUAGGCCUAACACAUGCGAGUCGAACGGCAGCACAGUAAGAGCUUGCUCUUACGGGUGGCGAGUGGCGGACGGGUGAGGAAUACAUCGGAAUCUACUUUUUCGUGGGGGAUAACGUAGGGAAACUUACGCUAAUACCGCAUACGACCUACGGGUGAAAGCAGGGGAUCUUCGGACCUUGCGCGAUUGAAUGAGCCGAUGUCGGAUUAGCUAGUUGGCGGGGUAAAGGCCCACCAAGGCGACGGUCCGUAGCUGGUCUGAGAGGAUGAUCAGCCACACUGGAACUGAGACACGGUCCAGACUCCUACGGGAGGCAGCAGUGGGGAAUAUUGGACAAUGGGCGCAAGCCUGAUCCAGCCAUACCGCGUGGGUGAAGAAGGCCUUCGGGUUGUAAAGCCCUUUUGUUGGGAAAGAAAAGCAGCAGGUUAAUACCCCGCUGUUCUGACGGUACCCAAAGAAUAAGCACCGGCUAACUUCGUG